rnacentral:rRNA from 1 species
GACGAACGCUUGCGGCGUGCUUAACACAUGCAAGUCGAACGGAAAGGCCCUGCUUUUGUGGGGUGCUCGAGUGGCGAACGGGUGAGUAACACGUGAGUAACCUGCCCUUGACUUUGGGAUAACUUCAGGAAACUGGGGCUAAUACCGGAUAGGAGCUCCUGCUGCAUGGUGGGGGUUGGAAAGUUUCGGCGGUUGGGGAUGGACUCGCGGCUUAUCAGCUUGUUGGUGGGGUAGUGGCUUACCAAGGCUUUGACGGGUAGCCGGCCUGAGAGGGUGACCGGCCACAUUGGGACUGAGAUACGGCCCAGACUCCUACGGGAGGCAGCAGUGGGGAAUAUUGCACAAUGGGCGGAAGCCUGAUGCAGCAACGCCGCGUGCGGGAUGACGGCCUUCGGGUUGUAAACCGCUUUCGCCUGUGACGAAGCGUGAGUGACGGUGAUGGGUAAAGAAGCACCGGCUAACUACGUGCCAGCAGCCGCGGUGAUACGUAGGGUGCGAGCGUUGUCCGGAUUUAUUGGGCGUAAAGGGCUCGUAGGUGGUUGAUCGCGUCGGAAGUGUAAUCUUGGGGCUUAACCCUGAGCGUGCUUUCGAUACGGGUUGACUUGAGGAAGGUAGGGGAGAAUGGAAUUCCUGGUGGAGCGGUGGAAUGCGCAGAUAUCAGGAGGAACACCAGUGGCGAAGGCGGUUCUCUGGGCCUUUCCUGACGCUGAGGAACGAAAGCGUGGGGAGCGAACAGGCUUAGAUACCCUGGUAGUCCACGCUGUAAACGGUGGGUACUAGGUGUGGGGUCCAUUCCACGGGUUCCGUGCCGUAGCUAACGCUUUAAGUACCCCGCCUGGGGAGUACGGCCGCAAGGCUAAAACUCAAAGGAAUUGACGGGGCCCCGCACAAGCGGCGGAGCAUGCGGAUUAAUUCGAUGCAACGCGUAGAACCUUACCUGGGUUUGACAUGGAUCGGGAGUGCUCAGAGAUGGGUGUGCCUCUUUUGGGGUCGGUUCACAGGUGGUGCAUGCCUGUCGUCAGCUCGUGUCGUGAGAUGUUGGGUUAAGUCCCGCAACGAGCGCAACCCUUGUUCACUGUUGCCAGCACGUUAUGGUGGGGACUCAGUGGAGACCGCCGGGGUCAACUCGGAGGAAGGUGGGGAUGACGUCAAGUCAUCAUGCCCCUUAUGUCCAGGGCUUCACGCAUGCUACAAUGGCUGGUACAGAGAGUGGCGAGCCUGUGAGGGUGAGCGAAUCUCGGAAAGCCGGUCUCAGUUCGGAUUGGGGUCUGCAACUCGACCUCAUGAAGUCGGAGUCGCUAGUAAUCGCAGAUCAGCAACGCUGCGGUGAAUACGUUCCCGGGGCU